UACAGUUUGUUUUCAUUUCCUUUCCAAUUUAAAAGAGUGUACUUAAUGUUCCAUCUUAGACAACAUGAUAGUCAUGAAGAUUUUGCGUGAGAAAGGCUAGAGAGUAUAGUGGGAAAAUCUCAGCUCCCCUUUGAACUCCUGGGCUCAAGUGAUCCUCCCACCAUAAUCUUCCAGGUAGCUGGGACCACAGACAGGACUUGCUCCUCCUUGCCUUCAGCCAUGAUUGCGAGGCUUCCCCAGCCACAUGGAACUUAUGCUGAGGUGGCCAAGAGCACAGGUUCAAAUCAAGACCAUGAAUUGAGCCAAGUGCAGUGGAAUGUCAACCUCAUUACAAGUCUGUUUGUAACAUCUUAUUUCAUGGCCAUGUGGCAAAUAAGUUCUUCCUGAGAUGAAUUUUGAUAAAAUACAUAAUGAUAACUUCAUGUAUUUUUAUAAGCUAUCAAAUGCAG
rnacentral:lncRNA from 1 species